rnacentral:lncRNA from 1 species
CCUUAGCGCUCUCUGGCAUUUCCUGUUCAGUGCUCAACUGCGGAGCGCUGUGCCCUCCAGGCCCUGGCCUCUGAUAACUCAGGGGAACCUGGGCUUCCUGCCCCUUUGCAAAUAGGCAGAGGGCAGGGGAGAGCUCUGGUGUGCCCCCGGUAAAGGAAGAAGGCUUUCCAAGCAGGAGGCUUGCAGGGAGCACCCUGAGGCCAGGGCAACCUGCGGUCCUUGCUGGGACAGUUAGGACAAUGCUGCCAGGUGGGGGACAAGAGGUGAAAGCAAACACCAGGAGCACGAUAGGGAUUCAAUGUUAAGGUGAGCACAAGCUUGAACAAAGGCAGUUUCCCCAGGUGCAGCUAACUACAAGGCAAACUGAUAAGAGCUAAAAGAAGAAGGCUGGAUGAGGAGCGGGGCAGCAGGGCAUCAUGUCAGCCAUCAGUGUGUUCUAGAAGAUCCAAGAGGAGGCUGGCAGUCGGGACUCAGCAGACGGAAACGGCUGAGCUUAACUGACCACAUGCACAUGAAGAGGCACAUCCUGCUCCGUGGAGAAAAGCACUGAUGGUCCCGUGCAUGCUGGGAUAAAAGGCCUGUGCUCCCUCCUGCCCCCAAGUUCCAGUCGUUUCUUGUUCCCAUUGCUUGGUUGACAGGAGUGUUGGCUGAAGCUUAAGGGACACAGGUAAAGUCCAAGGCACAACAACUGUCAGUUAGGUGGUUCCUAUGGCAACGGUUACUGUUGCUUUGCUGAUGUCUCUAACCAAGAUUACCCUCCAGCAGCUGACUUACCGUGAUCUUGAGGACCUGUGCAAUCAAGGGCUUCCUUCUAGUUGGUUACCCCCUGGUCCCAUCCAACUGCUGGAACAGCUGUCCUCCAGAAGCCCUUUGGUAGCACCUGUCAGCAGAGUUGUCUGUGGCUUUUUUCCCUCCAUUUAUUCCUAUGCUGAGAAUUGAGAGCUGAUCUUUGACUUAUGAAUGCAGGGCUAGCAGGCUCUCGAUCUCACUGGUGUCUGCACCUAGCACCCCCCUACUCCAGGGCAAAGCAUUCACUCCUCAGAGAGCCAGGGAGAGGGGGUCAGGCCAGCUCUUGUUUCUACAAUGGUAUCUAUGCAGGGCUGUAACUAUGGGCCACACUCACCUGGAGCAGCCUCUUUUUCCUGUGAAGGACCCAGGAACCCCUUACAAACAACAUAUAUGUGGAUCUUAAAGCCACUAACAGAUCCCCAGGCACCCAGAUUCCAAGAGAUAUAUCCCCUACUUGUACAAUGGGCACAACUCAAUUAAGUAAGCCUCACCCCUGUAAACUGUCUCCAUACCUUCAGAGUUGCACGUCUCUUCCUAGAAUACAAAACCCUCCUCCAUUUCCUCUGCUACCAGCCAUGGAAUCAGAGACAGCCUGACUACAUAAAACCUCUCCCUGCCUAUGGGACCUCUAAGAAGAGACUCUCCAUUCUGCCCUUUGGACCUGGAUACUCCUCAGAGUCCCUACCAUACUGUUUGCCUGACUAUGGGUCUGAGGCCCAAAUUCUCCUCAAACCCCCUGAUAUGUGUCUGUAAGCCUAUAUGCCCAUGCCAUCAGUAACUCUUCUAAUAAAUCUCUUAC